rnacentral:sRNA from 1 species
GGUGUAUGCUGAGCCGCUACCACAGCCGGCUGCUCCACGUCCUGGGCCUUAGCUUCCUGCUGCAGAGCCGCCGGCCGAUUCUCCUCUGCCCUCCACGUCUCAUGAAGCCGCUGGUCGUGUUCGUCCUUGGCGGCCCCGGCGCUGGCAAGGGGACCCAGUGCUCCCGCAUCGUCGAGAAAUAUGGCUACACACACCUUUCUGCAGGAGAGCUGCUUCGUGAUGAAAGGAAGAACCCAGAUUCACAGUAUGGUGAACUUAUUGAAAAGUACAUUAAAGAAGGAAAGAUUGUACCAGUUGAGAUAACCAUCAGUUUAUUAAAGAGGGAAAUGGAUCAGACAAUGGCUGCCAAUGCUCAGAAGAAUAAAUUCUUGAUUGAUGGGUUUCCAAGAAAUCAAGACAACCUUCAAGGUUGGAACAAGACCAUGGAUGGGAAGGCAGAUGUAUCUUUCGUUCUGUUUUUUGACUGUAAUAAUGAGGUAAUGAAAAUCUUCAUCUGCCCAUGUAGGCUUUAAGCAACUGUUAGUCAACUAUUAGAAAAAACAAAGGAUUUUUUUACUUAUAUGUUAUAUUGGCAGCAGUAUUUUUUGAAUUGGUAGAUUGGAUGGACAGAACAGCACUGUCUUGCUGUUGGAGUAUUAAAAACUGUUUGGCAUUAGCAGCCUUGUGGAGCUAAAUUUUCCUUUAUUUUCAAAAUAACAAGAAUGAGUUUUGAUUUUUAAAAAAUAAGAAUUGACAUACAUAAUAUUAGGUAAUGAAGCUGAACUACUUUCUUAGGUAGACAUUAUUAUCAAAGAGUAUCUUGCCUUAGG